AGGUCAUUACAAAUAGGGCUUGUGGGGCUGUGAAACCAAGGGCUUUUAAUAUACUGACUAAAGACGGAUUUUCUCCAUGAGAAGCUAUA
ensembl:snoRNA